CCUGUGGACGCUGAUGGAAAUGAGCGAGAGGAUGUGUUGCAGGCAAAUGAGCCAGUGGAUUUACUCCUCUUACCUGGACUUGCAUUUGACAGAUCUGGGAGACGCAUGGGCCGUGGUGGAGGUUAUUAUGAUACCUUCCUGAAGAAAUACCAGGAGCUGGCAAAGGAGAGGAAUUGGAGGCAGCCCCUACUUGGUGUGGAUUGCUUCUGUUUCAUUUAUAAUCAUAAAAAGCGAAAAGCAAUGCCUAUGAGUAAAAUAACCUGAUUACAUUAUUUAUGUUUGUACUUUGAUUUUGCAGUUGCACUGUCAUACUCUUUGCAGAUCAUGGAUGAAGGAAUUAUACCAGUCACUCCAACUGAUGUACCAGUGGAUGCUCUUGUAUCCCCAUCUGGUGUAAUUCCCAUUAGCCAGGCUGCCUUUGACAGAAUGAAACUUUAACACUGGACUUGGAAAUCAAACCUAAACGCUCUCUUCAAUGGAAGGAAGGCUCCGACAUGCCACUGUCAAGAGGCCACAGCUGAGCGUCCACUGUUAUGGCUUUUGAGGUUGUGUAAUGGGUUCCAGAUAUUUGUAUUUGUACUCCAUUGAGUGAAACUAACAAGCUUGAGAUAUUAGAAUAAUGAUUGAGAAUAGGGUCCAUGCCAACUGCCAGGUUGUUUUUGUUUUGGCAAAAUGUUGUCAUUCUUUUAACUCUCAA